rnacentral:tRNA from 1 species
GCAGUGGUGAUUUGGUGGUAGAAUUCUCGCCUUCCAUGCAGGAGACCUCGGUUCGAUUACCGGCCAGUGCA